rnacentral:rRNA from 1 species
CGUACACUCCUACGGGAGGCAGCAGUGGGGAAUAUUACACAAUGGGCGCAAGCCUGAUGCAGCCAUGCCGCGUGUAUGAAGAAGGCCUUCGGGUUGUAAAGUACUUUCAGCGGGGAGGAAGGCGAUAAGGUUAAUAACCUUGUCGAUUGACGUUACCCGCAGAAGAAGCACCGGCUAACUCCGUGCCAGCAGCCGCGGUAAUACGGAGGGUGCAAGCGUUAAUCGGAAUUACUGGGCGUAAAGCGCACGCAGGCGGUCUGUCAAGUCGGAUGUGAAAUCCCCGGGCUCAACCUGGGAACUGCAUUCGAAACUGGCAGGCUAGAGUCUUGUAGAGGGGGGUAGAAUUCCAGGUGUAGCGGUGAAAUGCGUAGAGAUCUGGAGGAAUACCGGUGGCGAAGGCGGCCCCCUGGACAAAGACUGACGCUCAGGUGCGAAAGCGUGGGGAGCAAACAGGAUUAGAUACCCCAGUAGUCCCAGA